UUUUUAACACAAACAAGUUGAUGAAUAAAAGUCAUGCCCACAAGUUCUUCCAACCAAGUUCAAAAUGCAAACCAAGUUCAAAAUACAAGUUCAUCCAACAAAGUUGAAGACAUAAACACAUCAACCAUCUUCCUCGUCUUCUUCCUCUUCUUCCUCUUCUUCCGCCGACGAUUCUUCCGCCUUCGAAGAUGAAUCUUCC
rnacentral:lncRNA from 1 species